GGAUCCAGACUUUGAUUAUGGCUCAGGAUGAACGCUAGCUACAGGCUUAACACAUGCAAGUCGAGGGGAAACGAUAUUGGAAGCUUGCUUCCGAUAGGCGUCGACCGGCGCACGGGUGAGUAACGCGUAUCCAACCUGCCCAUCACUUGGGGAUAACCUUGCGAAAGUAAGACUAAUACCCAAUGAUAUCUCUAGAAGACAUCUGAAGGAGAUUAAAGAUUCAUCGGUGAUGGAUGGGGAUGCGUCUGAUUAGCUUGUUGGCGGGGUAACGGCCCACCAAGGCGACGAUCAGUAGGGGUUCUGAGAGGAAGGUCCCCCACAUUGGAACUGAGACACGGUCCAAACUCCUACGGGAGGCAGCAGUGAGGAAUAUUGGUCAAUGGGCGAGAGCCUGAACCAGCCAAGUAGCGUGCAGGAUGACGGCCCUAUGGGUUGUAAACUGCUUUUAUAAGGGAAUAAAGUGAGCCUCGUGAGGCUUUUUGCAUGUACCUUAUGAAUAAGGACCGGCUAAUUCCGUGCCAGCAGCCGCGGUAAUACGGAAGGUCCGGGCGUUAUCCGGAUUUAUUGGGUUUAAAGGGAGCGUAGGCCGGAGAUUAAGCGUGUUGUGAAAUGUAGAUGCUCAACAUCUGCACUGCAGCGCGAACUGGUUUCCUUGAGUACGCACAAAGUGGGCGGAAUUCGUGGUGUAGCGGUGAAAUGCUUAGAUAUCACGAAGAACUCCGAUUGCGAAGGCAGCUCACUGGAGCGCAACUGACGCUGAAGCUCGAAAGUGCGGGUAUCGAACAGGAUUAGAUACCCUGGUAGUCCGCACGGUAAACGAUGGAUGCCCGCUGUUGGUCUGAAUAGGUCAGCGGCCAAGCGAAAGCAUUAAGCAUCCCACCUGGGGAGUACGCCGGCAACGGUGCAACUCAAAUGAAUUGACGG
rnacentral:rRNA from 1 species